rnacentral:rRNA from 1 species
AGUGAGGAAUAUUGGUCAAUGGGCGCGAGCCUGAACCAGCCAAGUAGCGUGCAGGACGACGGCCCUAUGGGUUGUAAACUGCUUUUAUGCGGGGAUAAAGUGAGGGACGUGUCCCUUAUUGCAGGUACCGCAUGAAUAAGGACCGGCUAAUUCCGUGCCAGCAGCCGCGGUAAU